CAAAUUAAGUUUUAUUUUCCUUUCCACAUAUAGUUUAACUCAACUGAUUUGAUAAACUUUUUUGACUUGCUACAUUUUUUGUUGGCACAAUAUCAAAGAACCAUAUUUCGUUCCAUUUAAUCAGAAUCCAUUAUUAUAAGACCAUUAUAUUUUAAAAGUUUCCAUGUAUUUAAGUUUAUUGAUUUUUGGGUAAAAAGAGCAAUGAACAGUAAAAUAAAAGGUCGAAAUUUUUUUAAAACAC
rnacentral:lncRNA from 1 species